GGUUAAAAUGACAAUGCAAUUGCUGCUGCAACUGCAAACAUUGUAUUUGUUCUCCUAGCCACAGGACAGUAGUCUUUAACAUUGCCACCUCUGUUUGUAUUUUGGUGUUAAUUUUAUUUUGAAGCAUCCGUGCCUGGUUGGCCAUAUGCGUCCAAUUUUUCACAUAUUCAGCUGUUUGAAUAGAGCUGUGCAGUGCUACUGAGGACACUACAAUAGAGGUUAUUAGUGUAACUAGGGAGACUGUACCAAAAAUUACCAUGCCUAAGGCUCUACAAGCACAGUGAGUGAGCUGAGUAAGAAGGAGUUGUACAAAAUAUAAAGCCGGGAUAGCCACCCAAGGCUCAAACAAAUUGACAGGAAUCCAUAAUCUGGGAAUGCAACCCGGAAUUAUUAAGGUGGAUAUGUUGUGUGUUUGUAUCGUGCUAUGAUUUAUGCAGUGAUACAGUUGACAGGAGUCACAAGUCAAAUGGGAGACGUUUACCUGGAGUUGGUCCUUUUUAGCCGCCAGAAAGAUACAGG
rnacentral:lncRNA from 10 species